AUGUUGAGCCACCAAGCUGACUUACAGCAACAUAAAGUAAAAUUUAAAGAUAACAGCGUCGACGACAUUUUUUAUCAAAAUCAACCGUUAAACUCGCGAGGUGAUGUCCUCGCGGCUUACGUAACCAAAACUUAAGUUCGCCAAGGAAGUCGACAGGUUGAGGGCAGCUUUUCCCAUUGUUUCUGCGUGUUCUGCUGCCCCGAUGACCCUGGAGCUGAACUCUUCUUCUGACUGGUCUCUGAUGAGCAAGCCCACUCUGGCCGGUGAAGAGCGUGUGCGCUGUGUGGGCCGGAUCGCUCCAGAGUUUCUGUCUUGUACAGCGAGCAUUAGUCACCCAGGUUGGUGGAUGAAGAGAACAAGUAGCUCAGGUGGGUGGAAGUGCCCUCAUAUUGGAUCACAGAGAGGCCUCAAAUACAAAGAACAAUGCCUCUGAGAUGAGAAGCUGAGAGAGAGCAAAAUUUCUCUAAACAGGGCUUCAAAAAUAAAUGUAUUUUAGAGCAGCUUAUGCCUAACAAAGAGGUAUUAGUCCUUUCUUUGCACCUAAUAUAAGAGUUUCUCAUUAAGCCAAUCAGGUUUCGUAUAUUUAAAGAAUGUUCAAAUCAAAAUAAAGCUCUAUUUUCAGGGUCCAUACUUUUCUACAUAUUUCCCAGGAAGUUUCCUUGAAAGCACUAUGCAAGUGCAUAUAAUAGGUGUUGACUUUGAAAGACAUGGGACCAGGCAGAGAGGGACUAAUGAAAGACAGACUAAAGAGGGACUAAAAAUCAGGAUAUCUUUUUAAAUUGUGUCUUUUGUGAGUCUUCCAUUUCAUGGAAGGGCAAUACUAAGUGUGUCCAUUUAAUUGGAAUUAAUUAAUUGGAAGUGUACUAAAUGAACACUGUCUCUAUUUUCCUUAUAAUUAGUCCAAAUUCCACAGUUAUUUCAGGAAACUU